GCAGGAAGUGCUUGCACUUCGCUGACGAGCGGCGGAGGGAGAGUAAUGCAUAGGAAUCUGCCUGAUAGUGGGGGAUAGCCCAGAGAAAUUUGGAUUAAUACCGCAUACGCACUAGCUCUUUUAAGAGCGGUGGAAAGCUGGGGACCUUCGGGCCUAGCGCUAUCAGAUGAGCCUAUGUCGGAUUAGCUUGUUGGUGAGGUAACGGCUCACCAAGGCGACGAUCCGUAGCUGGUCUGAGAGGAUGAUCAGCCACACUGGGACUGAGACACGGCCCAGACUCCUACGGGAGGCAGCAGUGGGGAAUAUUGGACAAUGGGCGCAAGCCUGAUCCAGCCAUGCCGCGUGUGUGAAGAAGGCCUUCGGGUUGUAAAGCACUUUCUUUUUUUUUUGAUAGGGAUGCUGCUAAUAUCAACGCCUUGUGACGUUACUCGCAGAAGAAGCACCGGCUAACUCCGUGCC
rnacentral:rRNA from 1 species